rnacentral:rRNA from 1 species
UACGGAGGGAGCUAGCGUUGUUCGGAAUUACUGGGCGUAAAGCGCACGUAGGCGGCUUUGUAAGUUAGAGGUGAAAGCCUGGGGCUCAACCCCAGAAUUGCCUUUAAGACUGCAUCGCUUGAAUCCAGGAGAGGUGAGUGGAAUUCCGAGUGUAGAGGUGAAAUUCGUAGAUAUUCGGAAGAACACCAGUGGCGAAGGCGGCUCACUGGCCCGGUACUGACGCUGAGGUGCGAAAGCGUGGGGAGCAAACAGG